rnacentral:lncRNA from 1 species
CUGAUGUUUACCUAUAUUAUAGUCAUAUCUGCAGCUAAUUCUGCUCCAGAGCUGUAUUUUUCGUUGUCUAUAUUCUUGUUCAUGUUUUAUUCUCUUCAUAAACCUUUCUUUCCCAUCCUCAUUUCUGUCCAUUUAAUUCUAAGUGUUCUGUAAAACACCUUUAAAAAACCCCUUUCUCUGGACUGGAGAUAUGGCUUAGUGGUUAAAAGUAUUGUCUGCUUUUCCAGAGGACCCAGGUUCCAUUCCCAGGACCCAUGUGGCAGCUCACACCUGUCUGUAACUGCUGUUCCAAGGGCUACAAUGACCUCUUCCAGCCUCUCUGGGCACUGCACAUAUGUGGUGCACGUACUUACAUGUAGGCAAACACCCAUACACAUAAAAUAAAUCUCUUUAAAAAGCCAUCUUGUCUGCAAGGGUUUCUCAAACUACCUUUUCAAUAAACAGCCCACUGUCAUUAUUUCCCUGUGAUAUAUGACUCUAUUCUAUAGCACCCUUUUGCAAAGCUGUAUGUGUCUUAUUCUAAGCCUGAAGGUGGAAGCAUCACACUCAACACUUGUUCCUAGACCCCAUCAGGGACCUUCGUACAUGACACUCAAUCAAGGGUUGCCAUAGUGAAUCAUUCAUUUUCCAGCCCUGACCUUUACAUUGUAGGAAGCCCUGCAGGACAGCCUCACCGUAAUCCUUGUCAUCUGGGUGACCUCAUGCAAUGCAUACUGCUAUAUAUAUAGAUUUCUUCCAGGUCAACCAUCUGAUGAAUGCGUGGAUCUUGAUAAUGACAAACACCCCAUCAACUCUUACUGGGAGAAGAACUGUGAGCGCUGUGUUUGUAGAAAAGACAAGAUUUCUUGCUGCAGGCUACAGAACUUACAUGGCUGAGUACUUCAAGCAAAUGGAUUGCCAGGUAAUAUUCCACCCAGGGACCUGCACCUACACUGUGGAACAGAAAGACCCACAAAAGCCCUGUUUUAACUAAGUAGACACUGUGAACAUACUUCUGCUGGGCUCAGCACUCCCAGCCUGAAGGAUAUUUGUAAGCCAGGCUAUUCUCUAGUCACUUCUCAUAAUCUGUGAUUACAUAGCCCUACCUAAUAGUGUUUUAAAAACUUGGAUUUGAAUAUGUUUAUGUUUAAAAUUUGCCAAUUAUAUUUGUGUUGAUUUGAUGCAUGUAAUAGCACAACAAAUAAACACUUAAAGGAGACAAAAAUAAACACAAGUGAUAAACAACAACUUCU